AUUUUCUUCUUCUUCUUCCCAAGCUCCGACCAGCGUCGCCCUUUCCGUUCCCGAUCUCCUCCUUCCGAAGCUGUCGCCCGUUGUUUCCGUCCACACCACUGCAACAGAACGACUCCCCUUGCGGUUCAGCCGCUCGUCGCUGUCUCCCGAAGCCGUCGCCUCUCCUUCUGUAUGUGCUACUCGACCAAGCCAGCUGUUACACCACAUUUCUCCUUCAGCUGCUAUGUGUGGUAACCCACUCGGAGAACGUUUAGCCACUGGCGUCUAUUUUCUUUCAUAUCAAUCCUUUUAUAAUUAAAUUUUGGAAGAGUUUAAACUGCAGUCCAGCCAUUCGGAAGCUCAAAAUCGGACGCUUUGGCACAUUUUAGGCCAUAUUGAAGUGGGGAAAGCGUAUAACCCCGGGGGAUCGAGUUACUGACUGUGAGUGGUUUAUUCUUUUUAAGCUUUCUUUAUACAUAUACACGUUAUCUCUUGACAUUGCUUGGAAACUACCAUGAUCUAAAACAUGAC